AACGAACGCUGGCGGCAUGCCUAACACAUGCCAGUCGAACGAGACCUUCGGGUCUAGUGGCGCACGGGUGCGUAACGCGUGGUAACCUGCCCUUAGGUUCGGAAUAACUCCCCGAAAGGGGUGCUAAUACCGGAUAAUGUCUUCGGACCAAAGAUUUAUCGCCUUUGGAUGGGCCCGCGUUGGAUUAGCUGGUUGGUAGGGUAAAAGCCUACCAUGGCGACGAUCCAUAGCUGGUGUGAGAGGAUGAUCAGCCACACUGGGAAUGAGACACGGCCCAGACUCCUACGGAAGGCAGCAGUAGGGAAUACUAGACGCGGAGGGAAGGCCUGAUAAAGCCAUGCCGCGUAAGUGAUGAAGGCCUUAGGGUUGUAAAGCUCUUUUACCCGGGGUGAUAAUGACAGUACCGGGAGAAUAAGCUCCGGCUAACUACGUG
rnacentral:rRNA from 1 species